AGUAAUGUGAAUUGCAGAAUUCAGUGAAUCAUCGAAUCUUUGAACGCACCUUGCGCCUCUUGGUAUUCCGAGAGGCAUGCCUGUUUGAGUGUCAUUAAAUUCUCAACCUCUUAAGCUUUUUUGUUUCUGAGGCUUGGAUGUGGAGGCUUUGCGGGCUCGU
rnacentral:rRNA from 1 species